CCGGCCUUAGCUCAGUUGGUAGUAGCGGCAGACUGUAGUGUUCACACAGGCAUCUGUAGGUCCCUGGUUCGACUCCGGGAGGCCGGA